rnacentral:lncRNA from 1 species
CCGCUUUCUGGCCCCAGGCGGAAGGAAUUUGAUCUGGCGGUUCCCUGGACUUGGCUGGGACCAGAACUGUCUCACAGCUGCCAGCGCUCCCCACCCCCAUGAGAACCAUCGUGCUGAAGAUGAAGAGCCAAAGCCAAACUGACCAGCCUCUGCAACCCCAAGCAUCACCGUGUGAGGACAGCGUGAUGUGGAGCCGCGGAGACCCCACGCAGUGCUGCGAGGGGCAACCACAUGCAGGGGGGCAGAGGUGUGGG